UACAGAGGUGGCAAGCGUUGUUCGGAAUUACUGGGCGUAAAGGGCGCGUAGGCGGUCUUGUAAGUCUUGUGUGAAAUCCCUCGGCUUAACUGAGGAACUGCACGGGAUACUGCGAGACUUGAGUUCGGGAGAGGGAAGCGGAAUUCCGGGUGUAGCGGUGAAAUGCGUAGAUAUCCGGAGGAACACCGGUGGCGAAGGCGGCUUCCUGGACCGAUUACUGACGCUGAGGCGCGAAAGCUAAGGGAGCAAACGGG
rnacentral:rRNA from 1 species